rnacentral:lncRNA from 1 species
AUUGGGGAAAACGGCCUGCAGUUCUUGAGAGAAAGUAGGCAGGCAGGAAUCACACCGGUGCAGCUCGGUGGGGAAAAGGCAGGUAGAAAUCCCACCGGUGGAGUUUGGAUGCAGGGGAUACCGGGCGGAAAUCCCACCGGCGAAGCUAGCGCUGGGCUAUUGCCAGGAGACAGGCAGAAAUCGCACUGGUGCAGCUAGUAUUGGGAAUUUGGGUGGAGUGGCAGGCGGAAAUCUCACCGGCGAAGCUAGCGCUGGGAAAGGGGCUGCCAGCAGACGGGCGGAAAUCGCACCGGUGCAGCUAGUAUUGGGAAUUUGGGUGGACGGUCUGCAAUUCUCAAGGUUGCCAGCUGAGGAAGGAAGCAGGCAGGAAUCACACUGGUGCAGCUCGGUGGGGGGAAAGCCAGGUAGAAAUCCCACCGGUGGAGUUUGGGUGGAGUUGCGGGCGGAAAUACCACGGGUUGAGCUAGCGCUGGGAAAGGGUUUGCCAGGAGACAGGCAGAAAUCGCAAUGGUGCAGCUACUAUGGGAAAUUUGGGUGGAGUGGCGGGCGGAAAUCUCACCGGCGAAGCUAGCGCUGGGAAACGGGCUGCCAGCAGACGGGCGGAAAUCGCACUGGUGCAGCUCGGUGGGGAACAGCCAGGUAGAAAUCCCACUGGUGGAGUUUGGAUGGCGUUCCAGGCGGAAAUCCCACGGGUGAAGCUAGCAUUGGGAAAGGGUUUGCCAGCAGACGGGCGGAAAUCCCACUGGUGCAGCUUGGUGGGAAAAGCCAAAGCAGGGCUUUGCCAGGCAGGAAUAACACUGGUGCAGCUCGGUGGGAAAAGCCAGGUAGAAAUCCCACAGAUGGAGUUUGGAUGGCGUUCCAGGCCGAAAUCCCACUGGAGAAGCUAGCCCUGGGAAAUGUGUUGCCAGCAGACGGGCAGAAGUCCAACCGGUGAAGCUAGUGCUGGGAAAUUGCCAGGAGACGGGCAGAAAUCGCAAUGGUGCAGCUAGCAUUGGGAAUUUGGGUGGAGUGGCAGGCGGAAAUCCCACCGGCAAAGCUAGCGCUGGGAAAUUGCCAGGAGACGGGCAGAAAUCGCACUGGUGCAGCUAGUAUUGGGGAAACGGGCUGCAGUUCUCAAGGUUGCCAGCCGAGGAAGGAAGCAGGCAGGAAUAACACCGGUGCAGCUCGGUUGGGAAAAGCCAGGUAGAAAUCCCACCGGUGGAGUUUGGAUGCAGAGGAUUACGGGCGGAAAUCCCACGGGUGAAGUUAGCUCUGGGAAAUUGCCAGGAGACAGGUAGAAAUCGCACCGGUGCAGCUUGGUGGAGAAAAGCCAGGUAGAAAUCCCCCCGGUGGAGUUUGGAUGGCGUUCCAGGCGGAAAUCCCACUGGUGUAGUUUGCGCUGGGAAAUGGCCAGGAGACAGGUAGGAAUCGCACCGGUGCAGCUUGGUGGAGAAAAGCCAGGUAGAAAUCCCCCCGGUGGAGUUUGGAUGCAGAGGAUUACGGGCGGAAAUCCCACGGGUGAAGUUAGCUCUGGGCAUUUGGGUGGAGGGUCUGCAGUUCUCAAGCUGGCCAGCGGACGGGCAGAAAUCUUAAUGGUGCAGCUAUGAUU